GGACUACCCGGGUUUCUAAUCCUGUUUGCUACCCACGCUUUCGUGCCUCAGCGUCAGUUAUGGUCCAGAAAGCCGUUUACACCACCGGUGUUCCUCCUGAUAUCUACGCAUUUCACCGCUACACCAGGAAUUCCACUUUCCUCUCCCACACUCUAGCCUCUCAGUAUUCGGCGCACCCUCCCAGUUGAGCCGGGAGAUUUCACACCAAACUUAAAAAGCCGCCUACGCACCCUUUACGCCCAGUAACUCCGAACAACGCUUGCUGCCUACGUAUUACCGCGGCGGCUGGCAC
rnacentral:rRNA from 1 species